rnacentral:lncRNA from 1 species
CACAGCAAGAAGGCAGCCGUCUACAUGCCAGGAAGAGAGCCCUUAACAGGAACUGACCCUGCCAGACCUUUACCUGCAGCUUCCAGCCAAAAGAACUAUCAGAUUUAUUUGGAGAAAACAGAAAUCCCACAACCCAAAGGAUGGGAUUUUACAUCAAGACAUCUCCCAGGUAAUAAGUCUACAGAUUACAAAUCAUUUUCAUAGAAGAUAUUUUUGUACAAGUUUUACAUGUAUUCAGGAGCGGGACGUUAAUCAAUCCCUGUUUCUAUUUUAAUAGGGGGGAUAAGGUAGGGGAGAGG